CUGCGCUGGCGUCACGCGUUCGUCCAAUCACAAUCGGCCCGAGAAUCAGCGCCUCCGCUCGCUGUUCACUCACGCCGGCAAACAGACAAACUAAACUAAUUGAACAUUACGAGACACCCAGCGCCGUUAACGGGAGCACCGGGAGAGCAAACAGCAAGUUUGCCACUUACCCAAGUCUUUACUGGAGUCACGUUGUCCCAGCUGACUCUCCAAACUAGUGGACAUUGUAGGACCAAAAUAGCAGCGCUCCACACAAAAGAGCAAUUUCAUGCAAGGUGAGGGGCAACAAUGCCAUCUAAAUUUGGCGACAAAAGAUAAAGAGUCUCAGGACAAGUGGCCUGGCAAACACAGGCCUGUUGACUGAAGCGCGGGGACCUAAUGACCCUCAUGUCACUGGCCCACAGCAGCUACAAGGGAGAAGACAACAGAGUGAGGCCGUCUUGACUACCAUAAGUGGACGUGCGCUGAUAACACAAGGGGUACCUGAGAGCUCUUUGCUUACCAGAGAGAUUACCGGCCCGCCGAGGCUCAAAGCUGGGGGAUUUGUCAACUUAACCCCUGUCCCCGCUCUCUUUUUUUCCCCCCUUCAGCCGUGUUUUACGAUGCUGGAUAGACCCCUGCACUAAACACAGAGGUCUUUACAGCAGAAUAAAACAUGGUUAAGUGUAGCGCGGCUGGGGUCAAGGUUUCAAUCGUGGAGGAGAGGGCUUCAGGAGCUAAUGAAAGCAGGAUCUUGCACUCUGACUGCCAGCCGUGCUCAGUAAUCUAUUCAAUUCGUGAAAAUGCUGUGAGACAUGUUUAUAUCUGCUCAAAUUAUUCUGGUGACCUGCAAAAUUUGUUAAUCUUCUAAGUACUCUGACUCUUGUAGACUUUUUUUGGUUG